rnacentral:lncRNA from 1 species
GGCGCGGGCCUGUAAUCCCAGCUACUCAGGAGGCUGAGGGCAGGAGAAUUGCCUGAACCCAGGGGGCGGAGGUUGCGGUGAGCCGAGAUCGCGCCAUUGCACUCCAGCCUGGGUAACAAGAGCGAAACUCCGUCUCAAAAAAAAAAAAAAAAAAAAAAAAAAAAAAAUUAUAUUCUUUCUGUAUUAAUUAAGCUUAUAAUUAGGAUAAAUAGAUUACAAAAACAGGGAUGGAGAAGAAGGGAUUGAGGGGAGGAGAGAGAGUGCUGGAGAGAUAAUCUCAUCACUAGGAAAAGACAUGAGUGAAAACAUAGCAUAAACAAGACUUAUGCCCCUCAAAAAAAGAGCUUUCUGGUCACCUCGUAAGGAUUCUAUAACAGUUACAGGUUACAAUUAAAAUAAGUAAAAUAUUUAGUUAACAAGGAAAUAUGCAUCGUUCACAUAAUUACUGAGAGUUAUUGCCAGUCACUGUGGUAGGAAGUGGGGAUUUGGGGAGAACAGAUCUGCAAUUCUAGCCUCAAGGAGCUACUGAUUAACACUAGAGGCAAAAUAAAAACGUAUUCACUGUUUCUACCCAUGUUUGCGCAAAGGGGGCAAGUUAUUGAUCCCCAAAGUAAAUGAGAUAAUGAGAAAAAGCUUCUGGGAAAAAAUGAGAAUACUAUAGCUGAUUAACUUACUGUUUAGUUCUCUUAAAAAUAUCUACCCUCUUAUGGUUAGAAUUCUGGCGUGAAAAUCGGGAGGACUGCCUAGUACUGCCAAUUCUGACGGUGACCUGGGAUACACCCUUCUGGACUACAUUAGUUUUCUCAGACAGACCAGAAAUGAUUACCAAGGGAGGAACCUCUUCCAUCCCAGCCCUCCCUUUUCAUGUCUUCGACAUGUGUGCCUCAAUUGAAAGACUCCCGUAAGUCCUCAUCUGGACUGCUACAUUCAUUUUCAGAGCCCAGGUAAAAACACACACAAAAAAGCCCUCCAAGUCCCUUCAAAAAGCAAGGUGGUGUGUUGGGGGCGGGGGGAGAUUUCCUUUCUUUCUCUCUCUCGGCCUGUCAUGGGGUCUCUUACUUGCUAUUUAAUUUCAUGCUCUCUCUGAUACAGCGGUAUUCACAGGGUGAGUGCAGAUGAUCCCAGGUAGCUGAGGCCUGCCCAGCCACUUGGUGCAUGGGGUGUGUGCACCCAGCUUCCACCGGCCCUGCACUGAUGCCCAGGC